rnacentral:rRNA from 1 species
AUGGUAGAUGCGGUCGCCGCGCGCCUACCAACCUGGAAGGCCUGGCUGAUGACUAAAACCGGGCGCCUUGCACUGGUCAAGUCGGUCUUGUGUGCCAUCCCAGUGCACCAAGUGCUUGCGUUCGCGCCCCCCAGAAAAACCCUCAAGCAGAUCGAGAAGAUUCAGCGCGGUUUCCUUUGGGCUGGACGUGCCGCUGCCAAUGUCGGACACUGCCACAUGAACUGGAACAGAGUUUGCCGCCCCAUCGAGCUUGGGGGCCUGGGCGUGCGAGACCUCAAGCGUGUCAGUCUCGCCCUGCGACUACGCUGGUUAUGGUUCUCCAAAACGGACCCGGAGCAAGCAUGGCAAGGGCUAGACCUUCAAUUCUCGCCCACGGAACGAGCCCUGUUCUGGGCAUCCACGGUCACGGUCAUUGGGAAUGGGCAGGCCGCCCUGCUCUGGGAGGACCGAUGGAUCGGUGGCCAAUCCGUGUGCGAGCUCAUGCCUAACCUCUACGGCUGCAUCCCCAAGCGACGACGGACGACGAGAACUGUGGCGGAUGGACUCAAUGGCAACUCCUGGGCACGCGACAUCCAAGACAACCUCGGCCUCCACAAGAUUGGUCAGUAUCUACAGCUCUGGCAGAUCAUGCAGCGCACCGAGCUCUCCACCACACCAGACAGGUUGAUCUGGAGAUGGACGGCGAGCGGCACCUAUUCCGCGCAGUCCUGUUACACGGCCACCUUCCAUGGAUCAACGGGCUGCCAUUCCUGGAAGCUAAUCUGGAAGUGCUGGGCGCCGCCGCGAGUCAAGUUCUUCCACUGGUUAGCCAACCAGGACCGCUGCUGGACGGCAGAGAGGCUGGCUCGCCACGGUCUCCAACAUUAUCCCCGCUGCCUCCUAUGUGACCAGCAGCCGGAGAUGAUGCGACAUCUACUGCUGGAAUGCCCCUAG